GAGAUUAGCUUGCUUUAUUUGUCAGCUAAGUGGCGCACGGGUGAGUAAUGUAUAGAUAACCUGCCCUCUAGAAAGGAAUAACAGUUGGAAACGACUGCUAAUGCCCUAUAUGCCUUUAAUACAUAAGUAUGCAAGGGAAACGCUUUAGUGCUAGAGGAUGGGUCUGUAUGGUAUCAGCUAGUUGGUGAGGUAAUGGCUCACCAAGGCUAUGACGCCUAACUGGUUUGAGAGGAUGAUCAGUCACACUGGAACUGAGACACGGUCCAGACUCCUACGGGAGGCAGCAGUGGGGAAUAUUGCACAAUGGACGAAAGUCUGAUGCAGCAACGCCGCGUGGAGGAUGACACAUUUCGGUGCGUAAACUCCUUUUAUAUAGGAAGAUAAUGACGGUACUAUAUGAAUAAGCACCGGCUAACUCCGUGCCAGCAGCCGCGGUAAUACGGAGGGUGCAAGCGUUACUCGGAAUCACUGGGCGUAAAGAGCGUGUAGGCGGGUAUAUAAGUCAGAAGUGAAAUCCUAUAGCUUAACUAUAGAACUGCUUUUGAAACUGUAUACCUAGAAUGUGGGAGAGGUAGAUGGAAUUUCUGG
rnacentral:rRNA from 1 species